AAACGACUCUCGGCAACGGAUAUCUCGGCUCACGCAUCGAUGAAGAACGUAGCAAAAUGCGAUACUUGGUGUGAAUUGCAGAAUCCCGUGAACCAUCGAGUUUUUGAACGCAAGUUGCGCCCGAAGCCAUUCGGUCGAGGGCACGUCUGCCUGGGCGUCACGCAU
rnacentral:rRNA from 2 species